rnacentral:misc_RNA from 1 species
UUCAAUUAUAUCGACAAGUAAUAUAACGUAGAUCGACGAAAAAAUAGUCAAGUAACUACGUGUUAUCAAAGAUUACUCAAAAAGUAGUUAUCAGAUCUCGAUAAAAUUUAUAUGUGACCACAUAAUAAACAUCAGCUUUCGAUUAAAUUAAAAAUUAUCAAAAUCGGUACACCCAGUAAAAAGUUAUUACGGAUUUUCGAGAGUUUCCCUCGAUUUCUCUGGGAUCCCAUCAUCAAAU